GCCGCCGUGGCUCAGCUGGAAGAGCGGGUGACUCGUAAUCACCAGGUCGCGGGUUCAAACCCCGCCGGCGGCU
rnacentral:tRNA from 1 species